rnacentral:rRNA from 1 species
UACAGAGGUCUCAAGCGUUGUUCGGAUUCAUUGGGCGUAAAGGGUGUGUAGGUGGCGCGCUAAGUCGGGUGUGAAAUUUUGGAGCUUAACUCCGAAACUGCAUUCGAUACUGGCGUGCUUGAGGACUGGAGAGGAGACUGGAAUUCAUGGUGUAGCAGUGAAAUGCGUAGAGAUCAUGAGGAAGACCGGUGGCGAAGGCGAGUCUCUGGACAGUUACUGACGCUGAGGCACGAAGGCCAGGGGAGCAAACGGG